CGGUUAUUUGUACUUAAUUUAUUAGCAUGAUUUCUUUUUUAAUAUGUUGUGUACAGACUGACUUACUUUGUCUACUUUUCUUACUCCAUGUAGGUUUCCCAGAGACUAUGGGUUGAGGAGGAAUUGGAAGUUUGUCGGCUUAGACCUGGUGUCAUUCCAUCAGUGUUAAACUUCCCGGCUCAUCUUGGAAGAGUACGUGCCAGAAAGACCACGACCAAGCAGCCUUGAGAUCUUAGGCAGCGUCUCCCUGAGGUCCCUCUCUAUCUCCCCACACAUCCACCAACCACUGGAACACAUCUCCAGGGUUCUGCCGGGCCAGCUCAGCUUCCCCUCAGAAGAAGUUCCGCCAGAUGAAGGAGCCUUUUGAGCGGCAGCUGGCAUCAUGAUUGGACUGUACUUUGGUCUGUUCCAAUCCAGCUUCAGCUCCAGAGACGGCAGGCGGGACGAGUCAACGGAGGCCGGGUGGACGAAGGCAUGCAGCUGAGUACAAUCCAGAAAACAACAGAGGAGGAGUGCAGCAGCCCAGUGCCAGAACAGAGUAGCAUCAUAUGGCUCUUAGAAAACAUCAUAGUUUAGCCUUUGGUAUGAAAAUACGCC
ensembl:lncRNA